AGGCUUUGUCUCAAGGACAGCGCGAGAACACAUGGACAACAAAGAAGACGACAACAUGGGCGCUGACUCGCAACAGCUGAUUUCCUGGAAAACCCGCUGCUUCAAAUCCUUUGGACACUCCUGAACUGGGCGUAUACACUGCUAAGGUGGGACACAGAUACGAUUACAGCAGCCUAGCUUCACUCAUACCAGUGGUUGCAAGACUUUACCUUCGAGGCCGUCCGCUGGCUGGCUGCAGAAAAGUUGCGCCGUGUGAACAACAGAGAAGCCCAGGACAAAAGCCCGACUAAAGCUUGCCGCAUCGAAUGCAUGUUCUGUCAACAUGGUGAAAGUUCGCCUGGUUUGCCAGCUUGUUUUGACGAUGCAAUUUUGAAGAUUGUGUACCAGACUUAUCUCCAUAUUGGAGCCAUGUUUUAUAGCAUAUCGUUAUUUACUCUCGUUGUCGCCCACACAGUCAUCGACGAUCAACCACGAACACCGCGCUAUACGCAUCAAAUGAAAACACUCAUAUACGUUCCUGGCUUGAAGAUAAGUAAGGCACGCAAUUAUUCAAUAAGGGCUCUACAAUAGCCGCUUCUCGUAUACUGCUAUAGGAUAUAAGAUGCGUGACAGC